UUUUUAAAAAAAAAAAAGUUACAAGGUUUCCGUAGGUGAACCCUGCGGAAGGAUCAUUA
rnacentral:rRNA from 1 species